GGACAAGCGACUAAGUGCACAUGGUGGAUGCCUAGGCGAUUACAGGCGAAGAAGGACGUGGUAGCCUGCGAAAAGCUGCGGGGAGCUGGCAAACAAGCAUUGAUCCGCAGAUGUCCGAAUGGGGAAACCCGGCCCGCAAGGGUCAUCACACACUGAAUACAUAGGUGUGUGAAGCGAACGCGGCGAACUGAAACAUCUAAGUAGCUGCAGGAAAAGACAUCAACCGAGAUUCCCAGAGUAGUGGCGAGCGAAAUGGGAGAAGCCUGCAAGAUUUAGCAUGAUGGAUAGUGGAAUGUCCUGGAAAUGGCAGCCAUAGCGGGUGAUAGCCCCGUACACGAAAUCCGUGGUGUGGAACUGAGCUUGCGACAAGUAGGGCGGGACACGUGAAAUCCUGUCUGAAGAUGGGGGGACCAUCCUCCAAGGCUAAAUACUCGUAAUCGACCGAUAGUGAACCAGUACCGUGAGGGAAAGGCGAAAAGAACCCCGGGAGGGGAGUGAAAUAGAUCCUGAAACCGUGUGCAUACAAACAGUCGGAGCCCUGUAAGGGGUGACGGCGUACCUUUUGUAUAAUGGGUCAGCGACUUACAUUCAGUGGCAAGCUUAACCGAAUAGGGAAGGCGUAGCGAAAGCGAGUCCGAACAGGGCGAUUCAGUCGCUGGGUGUAGACCCGAAACCAGAUGAUCUACUCAUGGCCAGGAUGAAGGUGCCGUAACAGGUACUGGAGGUCCGAACCCACUAGUGUUGAAAAACUAGGGGAUGAGCUGUGGGUAGGGGUGAAAGGCUAAACAAAUCUGGAAAUAGCUGGUUCUCUCCGAAAACUAUUUAGGUAGUGCCUCAAGUAUCACCACCGGGGGUAGAGCACUGUUAUGGCUAGGGGGUCAUCGCGACUUACCAAACCAUUGCAAACUCCGAAUACCGGUGAGUGCGAGCUUGGGAGACAGACGUCGGGUGCUAACGUCCGGCGUCAAGAGGGAAACAACCCAGACCGCCAGCUAAGGUCCCCAAGAUUGGCUAAGUGGAAAACGAAGUGGGAAGGCGAAAACAGUCAGGAGGUUGGCUUAGAAGCAGCCACCCUUUAAAGAAAGCGUAAUAGCUCACUGAUCGAGUCGUCCUGCGCGGAAGAUGUAACGGGGCUAAGCCAGUCACCGAAGCUGCGGAUCUGUACGCAAGUACAGAUGGUAGGAGAGCGUUCCGUAAGCCUGCGAAGGUGUCUUGUAAAGGAUGCUGGAGGUAUCGGAAGUGCGAAUGCUGACAUGAGUAGCGAUAAUGCGGGUGAAAAGCCCGCACGCCGUAAGCCCAAGGUUUCCUGUUCAACGUUCAUCGGAGCAGGGUGAGUCGGCCCCUAAGGCGAGGCAGAGAUGCGUAGCUGAUGGGAAGCAGGUUAAUAUUCCUGCACCGUCGUUAGAUGCGAUGGGGGGACGGAUCGCGGAAGGUUGUCCGGGUGUUGGAAGUCCCGGUUUCUGUGUUGGAGAAGGCGCUUAGGCAAAUCCGGGCGCGCAAUUCAAGGACAUGGAACGAGCGGCUAUAUGCUGCGAAGCAAUCGGAAGUGGUUCCAAGAAAAGCCUCUAAGCUUCAGUCUAACGAGACCGUACCGCAAACCGACACAGGUGGGCGAGAUGAGUAUUCUAAGGCGCUUGAGAGAACUCGGGAGAAGGAACUCGGCAAAUUGGUACCGUAACUUCGGGAUAAGGUACGCCCUGGUAGCUUGACUGGCCUGCGCCAGAAGGGUGAAGGGGUUGCAAAAAAUUGGUGGCUGCGACUGUUUAAUAAAAACACAGCACUCUGCAAACACGAAAGUGGACGUAUAGGGUGUGACGCCUGCCCGGUGCUGGAAGAUUAAAUGAUGGGGUGCAAGCUCUUGAUUGAAGUCCCAGUAAACGGCGGCCGUAACUAUAACGGUCCUAAGGUAGCGAAAUUCCUUGUCGGGUAAGUUCCGACCUGCACGAAUGGCGUAACGAUGGCCACACUGUCUCCUCCCGAGACUCAGCGAAGUUGAAAUGUUUGUGAUGAUGCAAUCUACCCGCGGCUAGACGGAAAGACCCCAUGAACCUUUACUGUAGCUUUGCAUUGGACUGUGAACCAAUCUGUGUAGGAUAGGUGGGAGGCUAUGAAACCGGGACGCUAGUUCCGGUGGAGCCGACCUUGAAAUACCACCCUGGUUUGUUUGCGGUUCUAACCUUGGUCCGUUAUCCGGAUCGGGGACAGUGCAUGGUAGGCAGUUUGACUGGGGCGGUCUCCUCCCAAAGUGUAACGGAGGAGUUCGAAGGUACGCUAGGUACGGUCGGAAAUCGUGCUGAUAGUGCAAUGGCAUAAGCGUGCUUAACUGCGAGACUGACAAGUCGAGCAGGUACGAAAGUAGGACAUAGUGAUCCGGUGGUUCUGUAUGGAAGGGCCAUCGCUCAACGGAUAAAAGGUACUCUGGGGAUAACAGGCUGAUUCCUCCCAAGAGUUCAUAUCGACGGGGGAGUUUGGCACCUCGAUGUCGGCUCAUCACAUCCUGGGGCUGUAGCCGGUCCCAAGGGUAUGGCUGUUCGCCAUUUAAAGUGGUACGUGAGCUGGGUUUAAAACGUCGUGAGACAGUUUGGUCCCUAUCUGCCGUGGGCGUUGGAAGUUUGAGGGGGGCUGCUCCUAGUACGAGAGGACCGGAGUGGACGAACCUCUGGUGUACCGGUUGUCACGCCAGUGGCAUUGCCGGGUAGCUAAGUUCGGAAGAGAUAACCGCUGAAAGCAUCUAAGCGGGAAACUCGCCUCAAGAUGAGACUUCCCGGGAACUUGAUUCCCCUGAAGGGUCGUUCGAGACCAGGACGUUGAUAGGCUGGGUGUGCAAACGCAGUAAUGCGUGCAGCUAACCAGUACUAAUUGCCCGUGCGGCUUGUCCCU
rnacentral:rRNA from 1 species